rnacentral:ncRNA from 1 species
CGUCGCGAUGCUCUUCAAUCUUGGAGAACUCGUGAUGCGGAUACUAUCAAAAAAGCAGUUGAAGGAGUUGGUCUUGUACUCACCUCAACACAUCGCACGUAUGGAGAAGGCCGGGAAGUUCCCAAAGCGGAUACAACUUGGCCCAAACCUAGUGGGAUGGGCGGAAGAUGAAGUGCUGAACUGGCUUCAGCCCCGGCUAGAACACAGAUAGCCUCUUACGGUACUCCCACUUGGGAGUAUGGAGAUGGCCAGGUGUGCACAACUU